rnacentral:rRNA from 1 species
CACGUAGGGUGCGAGCGUUGUCCGGAAUUAUUGGGCGUAAAGAGCUCGUAGGCGGUGUGUCGCGUCGGCCGUGAAAACCUGCAGCUUAACUGUGGGCUUGCGGUCGAUACGGGCAUCACUGGAGUUCGGCAGGGGAGACUGGAAUUCCUGGUGUAGCGGUGAAAUGCGCAGAUAUCAGGAGGAACACCGGUGGCGAAGGCGGGUCUCUGGGCCGAUACUGACGCUGGAGGAGCGA